CUCAGGACGAACGCUGGCGGCGUGCCUAACACAUGCAAGUCGAACGGGUUAGUUCUUCGGAGAUAACUUAGUGGCGAACGGGUGAGUAACGCGUGAGAAACCUGCCUUUCAGUGGGGGACAACAGUUGGAAACGACUGCUAAUACCGCAUGAUGUUAUUUGGGGGCAUCCCUGAAUAACCAAAGCUUUAUGUGCUGAAAGAUGGUCUCGCGUCUGAUUAGCUAGAUGGCGGGGUAACGGGCCCACCAUGGCGACGAUCAGUAGCCGGUCUGAGAGGAUGAACGGCCACAUUGGGACUGAGAUACGGCCCAGACUCCUACGGGAGGGCAGCAGUGGGGAAUAUUGGGCAAUGGGGGAAACCCUGACCCAGCAACGCCGCGUGAAGGAAGAAGGCCUUCGGGUUGUAAACUUCUUUUACCAGGGACGAACACAAUGACGGUACCUGGAGAAAAAGCAACGGCUAACUACGUG
rnacentral:rRNA from 1 species